rnacentral:tRNA from 2 species
CUGCAUGUAGUUCAACGGAUAGAACACCAGACUGCUAAUCUGGAGAUGUGGGUUCGAUUCUCACCAUGCGGU